UACAGAGGGGGCAAGCGUUGUUCGGAAUUACUGGGCGUAAAGGGCGCGUAGGCGGCCUUCUAAGUCGAACGUGAAAUCCCCGGGCUCAACCCGGGAACUGCGUCCGAUACUGGAAGGCUUGAAUCCGGGAGAGGGAUGCGGAAUUCCCGGUGUAGCGGUGAAAUGCGUAGAGAUCCGGAGGAACACCAGUGGCGAAAGGCGACACGCUGGGCCGUACCUGACACUGAGGCGCGAUAGCAUGGGGAGCAAACAGG
rnacentral:rRNA from 1 species